GGAGACUCCAAGAACCAAUGAUAUAAAACCGAAAACUCUGAAUACUGAAAGAUGUACUAAAAGUGGACCUGACCAUAAGGCGGAUUCAUUUAAUUGUAUAAAAUGGGAUCAAAAAUGGGAAUCAAAAGUACCUCACACCAUGCCCCCAAGAACAGUACAUGCACAGAAGCCCAAUCCUCCAAAACAAGAAAAUGAAUCUUCACAACGCCAACCAGAAUUUGAAAGUCCAUGGAGGAUGAUGCCUUGGGGGUAGGUUCAUUAACUUUUAUGUAAGAAAAGCUUAUUAUCUUGAGUGCUGAACAAACAUACCAUCAGCAAUGUUAGCUUCCUCAACUCCUGUGUAACAGAUUAGACUCCAAGAGAGAUGUAGGCACCUUAUCAAAACCUACACAAAACAAAUCAGACUCCAGAUGAAAAUCAGUAACCAGGAUUUAGUCAGAGCAUGGGAAAUCACAGUGUAAACGGGACAGAAGAUGAAAGGAUGAAAUUGAGCAGAAACUGAGGAACUUUAAUAUCAAGAGACUAAAAGUGCCGUAUGUCAGAAUUCUGAUUGUUGGUGCAGUCGGAGCUGGAAAGUCCAGUUUCAUAAACUCAGUUAAUAAUGCUUUCCAAGGAAGAAUCACCUGUGAGGCUCUGGUUGCUACAGGAUCUGAAAGAAGCUUCACAAAAACCUACACAACCCAUUACAUUGAAGGAGAGGAUGGUACUCCUUUGCCUUUUGUCUUCAAUGAUAUCAUGGGCCUUGAAGAUGAAGAUGGUGUCCAAACACAGGACCUUGUCACAGCUGUACAGGGGUUUAUUAAGGAAGGGCACAAAUUUAAUCCUUUGUCAGCAGUGUGUAAAAAUGACCAUGGCUACAGAAGCAACCCAACACUUGAAGAACAAACCUUCUGCCUGGUCAACAUUAUAGCAGCAGACAAAAUAUCACUGAUGAAGGAUGAAGUCAUUGAUAAGCUGAAAUACAUCCGCCAGGAGGCUUCAAAACUGAUGAUGCCACAAGUAAUUGUCAUGACACGACCAGAUUUAGCAUGCCCACACAUUAACAAAGACCUAAGGAAGAUCUACACCAGCAAGAAAAUAAAAGACAAGAUGCAAGAGUGUAGUAAUCGGCUGGGUAUUCCCAUGAAUUACAUCUUGGUUGGUGAAAGAACAGCUAUUUAUAGCUGCUAUAUCAUUAAUGAAAAUAGACAAUUUUGCAGUUGCAGUCGUUGGAUAAUUAAAAAAAGUAAUUAUUGGCAAAUUGCUGUGGUAUAAUAGCAAUAAAACACUUCGGGGUGGUAACAGUA